rnacentral:rRNA from 1 species
GACGAACCGUGCGAACGUUAUUCGGAAUCACUGGGCUUAAAGCGCGUGUAGGCGGGCCAUCACGUCGGUCGUUGAAAGCCCCCGGCUCAACCGGGGAACCGGCGCCGAUACGAGUGGCCUGGAGGGGGGUAGGGGGACCUGGAACUUCCGGUGGAGCGGUGAAAUGCGUUGAGAUCGGAAGGAACGCCCGUGGCGAAAGCGAGGUCCUGGACGCCUACUGACGCUGAGACGCGAAAGCCAGGGGAGCGAACGGG